AUGGGAUUGUCAAAUAUCUUGGGUUGGAUCUCUCCACUGAGAAAAAAAGCAAAAGCAAUUCUUGGAGUUCUUGGCAACAACAAUGGCAAAAUUCCAACACUGGGUGAAAGCAAGCAUUUUCAGGAAGUUGACCCAAGCCAAUAUUGUCUUCUUCCUCUCCCAUCCCCCUACCUUCCUCCCAGGAAGGGGAAAAUUUGUCAUUUUCUUCUGCUAAAUCCUUAACAUUCAGGUAUGAUUAUUGGGUUGUAGUCACAUGCCAUCUAACUUAGUGACAUUUUUUUUUUAAUUUUGUACCAUGGGUGAGAAUCUGGCCCAGUGCCUUUAAUCACUGCAGAAGUUCAAGUCAGGAACAAAAAAAUGCAUGACACGUUUCAUUGAAAGCAUGGCUUUUCUCUGGAUUUGACAGCUGAAAUGAGUUGUUUCCUACCUUCUCCUGUGAUCAAUACCAAAUCCCUACAGAGAUUUGGAUGCCUUUCAUGAGGAGAAAUCACCCACCAGGGGUGGAAGUUGGGGGAGGGGAGAAUUGAGCGGGUUGUAGUUUGCUAAAGGAAACCAAGUAAAGGGGAAAAAAAAUAUCCUGCUUCCUCUUAUUCCUGAAGCCGCUAUCAUAUCCCUUGCCCUGCUGUUAUAAUUGAUGCUUCUAGGUCCACUGCAGUAAUUCCAUCUAGCUAUCCUACUUUGGGACCUGAAGCUUCAUGCAGGAUCUGCCAUGUCAUUAACUUGGUGGGUGCAAGAAGAACUUAACAGGCAUGUUAUAAUCCACACCCACGUUCUCUGCUGGACCAGGAGUCCAAAUUAAAACCCUGAAAUACAGUGGUCCUGGGUCUGGAAGGUUGAUUUCUAAAGAAAAGGACUUGGGCAAUAGAAGGCUAUAAAUAGGCUAAUAAAAUUCAAAUGUCAUUCUGGAAAAUAGUGUAU
rnacentral:lncRNA from 1 species